rnacentral:lncRNA from 1 species
AACUUCACUAGCACAUACAAGCGGCCUCCCAAGCCCUGACAGACCUCCUUGUGCGUCCAAGGGCCCAGCGAAUCGACUCGUGACUAUCUCACGCACUGGGCCAAGCUGCGCAACUCCUGCGAAGGUGUGCACGAGGUGCAGGCAAUCGAGUACUUCACCGCCGGGUGCCGAGAAGGCACCCUCCUCAAGCACCGGCUUCUCUGCGAUGAGCCUGCGACUCUCGACAAACUGCUAAUCAUCGCCGACAAGCACACCACGGCCGACUCCUCCAUGAAGGCGGAAAUCCUAGUUGAUGCGUCCGACAAGGUGGCACCUCAUGCUCCUCGGACUCCGGCUGGUGACACCAGUCGGCGAUGGCAUCCAAGUGACAACAAGCGGAAGGCCACCCAGCCGGCUUCCACCAGCCGGCAGGUGGCGACAGUCGAGGACCAGCAACCGGAAGGGCAGCUAGUGCCCAAGCGUCAGAAGGGCGGCAAGCCCAAUUGGUUGCCCGCCUUCUCUUACGAGCAGACCCUUGAUGCACCCUGCAAGUUCCAUAGUGGCGCGAAGCCGUCCAACCACACCACUCGGAAGUGUCGUUGGCUCACCAAAAUUGCCAAGGGAGAUGGACUCCUACCUCCUCCGCAUGCCGGCUCGCCGCCUCCUUCGCCCCAGCAGCCGGCGGCCCGACCAAUCGGCGCCAUACAAGACGAGUAUCCUAUUGAGCAUGGAGCCUAUGUUGUGUUCACCAGCGUGGCCGAUGACAGACGCAUCAGAUGGCAGCAACAGCAAGAAGUACAAGCAGUAGCAUCAAAUACUCCAGAGUUCAUGCAUUGGUCUGAAAAGCCCAUCAGUUGGAGCAGGGCCGACCACCCGGAAGUGAUGCCCUCCCAUGGUUCCUACGCCCUGGUCCUAGAUGCUACCUUUGCAACAAAGAGGCGGAUAGCUUGUUUCUCCAGAGUCCUGAUAGAUGGCGGCAGCAGCAUCAAUAUCCUAUACCGUGACACAAUGGAGAAGUUGGGAAUCAAGCAGAAGCAGCUCCACCCCAGUCGGACUGUAUUCCAUGGCAUAGUCCCUGGCCUUUCCUGCUCACCAAUCGGCAAGACCCAAAUUGAUGUUCUCUUCAGAGAUAAGAAUCAUUUCCGCUGUGAGCCAGUUUGGUUUGAAGUGGUGGAGCUUGAGAGCCCCUAUCAUGCGCUGCUUGGCCGGCCUGCCCUGGCCAAGUUCAUGGCGGUCGCCCACUAUGCUUACCUCAAGAUGAAGAUGCCGAGUACAAAGGGGAUCCUGACCAUAGUCGGAGACUACAAGAAGUCGUCCGCCUGCGCCGCGGACAGCAUCCGGUUGGCCAAGUCCCUUGUGAUUGUAGCUGAGAAGCGGCUCCUUGACCGGGUUGUGGCGAUGGCAGGCAUGAAGCCAGAAAUGUCACCCAUCCCCAAGGAGUCGGAGGUUGAGGGCUCGUUCAAGCCGGCGAAGGAAACAAAGAAGAUACCCCUGGACCCGGAGCACCCGGAGAGGCACACAGUCAUAGGUGCAAACCUUGAAAACAAAUAGGAAAGCGAGCUCGUCGAUUUCCUCCAUGAGAAUUGGGACAUCUUUGCAUGGUCUCCCAAAGACAUGUCGGGUGUUCCAACAGAUUUCGCCGAGGACAAGUUACAUGUCCGACCUGACGCCAAGCCGGUCAGGCAGCCCUUGCGCCGCCUGUCGGAAGAGAAGAGAAGAGUUGUCGGAGAAGAGAUAGCCCGACUUCUAGCAGCUGGUUUCAUCAUGGAAUUAUUCUUUCCAGAGUGGUUGGCCAACCCAGUUCUUAUGCUGAAGAAAAAUAAGCAGUGGCACAUGUGUAUUGAUUAUACUAGCCUCAACAAAGCUUUCCCCAAAGAUCCCUUUGCCCUGCCAAGAAUUGACCAAGUGAUAGACUCCACAGCCGGAUGCGAGCUGUUGAGUUUUUUGGAUGUGUACUCAGGGUACCACCAGAUCAAACUGAACCCGGAUGACAGGCUGAAGACCGCCUUCAUCACACCAUUUGGAGCCUUCUGCUACCUAACCAUGAUGUUCGGCUUGUGAAAUGCCGGCGCCACGUUUCAGCCUUGCAUGCAGAAAUGUCUCCUCAAGCAACUCGGCAGAAACGCCCAUGUUUAUGUGGAUGAUGUGGUGGUGAAGACGGAGAAGCGUGGCACGCUGCUGGAGGACCUCAAGGAGACAUUUGAGAACCUGCGCCGAUUUCAGAUCAAGCUCAACCCAGAGAAAUGCGUCCUUGGAGUACCAGCCGGCAGCUCCUCGGCUUUCUGGUCUCGGAGUGUGGCAUAGAGUGCAACCCUGUAAAGAUCAAGGCCAUUGAGAAGAUGGAGGUGCCCACCCGACUGCUGGACGUGCAGAAGUUCACCGGCUGCCUGGCAUCAAUUAGCCGUUUCAUUAGUCGGCUAGGCGAGAAGGCUCUUCCCCUGUAGCUUCUCAUGAAGAAGACCACUUUUUUCGAGUGGAACGACAAGGCGGAUGAAGCUUUUCUCCAGCUCAAAAAGAUGUUGACCACCCCACCUAUCUUGGCGGCUCCGACUGAUAAAGAUCCCAUGCUCCUCUACAUCGCCACCACCAGCCGGGUGGUCAGCAUAGUCAUAGUGGUGGAACGCAAGGAGGAGGGCAGAGCAUUGCCAGUCCAAAGGCCGGUAUAUUACUUGAGUGAAGUACUAUCCGCCUCCAGGCAAAACUACCCCCACUACCAGAAGAUGUGCUAUGGUGUGCACUUUGCCGCCAAGAAGCUGAAGCCUUACUUCAACAGCACCCAAUAACUGUUGUCUGCACUGCUCCGCUUGCUGAGAUCAUUGGAAGCCGAGAUGCGUCAGGCCGAGUGGCCAAAUGGGCCAUUGAUCUAGCCCCUUACACCAUCUACUACCAGCCUUGCACCGCCAUCAAGUCACAAGCACUGGCCGACUUCCUCGUCGACUGGGCCAAGACCCAGUACCUGCCGCCAGCGCCAGACUCUACCCAUUGGCGGAUGCACUUCGAUGGUUCAAAAAUUCGCACCGGUCUGGGAGUCAGCAUCGUCCUCACCUCUCCCAAAGGCGACAAGCUCAGAUAUGUGUUACAAAUCCACUUUGUCGCCUGAGGGAGUCCUGGAUUAGGGGGUGUCCGGAUAGCCGAACUAUCACCGUUGGCCGGACUCCUAGACUAUAAAGAUACAAGAUUGAAGACUUCGUCCCGUGUCCGGAUGGGACUUUCCUUGGCAUGGAAGGCAAGCUUGGCGAUACGGAUAUGUAGAUCUCCUACCAUUGUAACUGACUCUGUGUAACCCUAACCCUCUUCGGUGUCUAUAUAAACCGGAGGGUUUUAGUCCGUAGGACGAACAACAAUCAUACCAUAGGUUAGCUUCUAGGGUUUAGCCUCUCUGAUCUCGUGGUAGAUCUACUCUUGUACUACCCAUAUCAUCAAUAUUAAUCAAGCAGGAGUAGGGUUUUACCUCCAUCGAGAGGGCCCGAACCUGGGUAAAAACAUCGUGUCCCUUGUCUCCUGUUACCAUCCGCCUAGACGCACAGUUCAGGAACCCCUACCCGAGAUCCGCCGGUUUUGAAACCGACAUUGGUGCUUUCAUUGAGAGUUCCUCUGUGUCGUCACCUUUCGGCCCGAUGGCUCCUUCGAUCAUCAACAACAACGCAGUCCAGGGUGAGACUUUUCUCCCCGGACAGAUCUUCGUAUUCGGCGGCUUCGCACUGCGGGCCAAUUCACUUGGCCAUCUGGAGCAGAUCGAAAGCUACGCCCCUGGCCAUCAGGUCAGAUUUGGAAGUUUGAACUACAUAGCGACAUCCGUGGAGACUUGAUCUUCGACAGAUUCGAGCCACAGCCAAGCGCGCCGCACUGACUCGAUGGGCAUGAUCUAGCUCUGCCGCCGAACAUUACCCUGGAGGCCGCACCAGCGUCCGCUCCGACCCUUAGCUCGGAGCCGACUUCGCUGAACGAGGACGAGUGGCUGGACACCGCCUCGGGGGCUACGAUAUCUAUGGCGAUUGAGCCGAACACCAUCCCUGUCCUUUGCAAAGCCCGUGACUCCGAGGUGCCGGAUUCCUCUCCGGACUCCGAACCUUCCGCACUCCUGCCAGUCAAAUCCGAUUGGGCGUCGGUUAUGGAGUUCACUGCCGCGGACAUUUUUCAGCACUCGCCCUUUGGCGACAUCCUGACUUUACUAAAGUCCCUCUCUUUAUUAGGAGAACCCUGGCCGGACUGUGGCCAGGAAGGUUGGGAUGCGGACGAUGAAGAAAUUCAACGCCCACCCACCACCCACUUUGUAGCCACUGUCGAUGAUUUAACCGACAUGCUCGACUUCGACUCCGAAGACAUCGACGGUAUGGACGAUGAUGCAUGAGACAUCCAAGAACCAGGGCCUACAGGGCACUGGAAGGCCACCUCGUCAUACGACAUAUAUAUGGUGGACACCCCAAAAGAUGGGAAUGGCAAUGGAACAGCGGAGGAUGACCCCUCCAAGAAACAGCCCAAGCGCCAGCGUCAGCGGCGCCGCUCUAAAACCCGCCAUAGCAAAAACGGUGAUUCCGGUACGGGAGAUAAUAACACCCCAGAUAGUGUCGAAGACAACCCCCUCCAGCAGGAUUCAGCACGGGAGGAGGGAGAAGCCAGCCCUCAUGAUAGAGCGGCAGACAGAGAGGUGGAGGACGAUAAUUAUAUGCCUCCCUCCAAAGACGAAGCAAGCCUCGACGACGACGAAUUUGUCGUGCCCGAGGAUCCCGUCGAACAAGAGCGUUUCAAAAGCAGGCUUAUGGCCACGGCAAGCAGCCUCAUGAAAAAGCAGCAGCAGCUUAGAGCUGACCAAGACUUGCUAGCUGACAGAUGGACCAAAGUCCUUGCAGCCGAAGAGUAUAAACUCGAUCGCCCCUCCAAGAGCAACCCGAAACGCAGGCUGCUACCCCAAUUAGAGGAGGAAGCACCCAAACCUACAUCACCAGCGCAUGACGCGGCCGACCGGCCACCUCGUGGCCGCGACAGAGAGGCCUCUAGACUCUCCACUAAAGCCGCACCCCGGCGUCGCUCGAAAAGUACAAAGCCGCGGGGAAAUGCGCCGGACUUGCGAGACAUAUUGGAGGACAAGGCAAGGCAAAUAAGAUUGAUCUACGGAUUGUGUGGGCGCCCCACGACACGUGAUGACAACCGUCACGCCGGAUACAGCAAUUUCGGCGGGCCGAACACAGUAGACAAAGCUCAUUUGAGCUACGUCAUGAUAUAGCCCAAUAUAGAGGCGCCGCACACCCACUAUGCUUCACAGACGAAGUAAUGGAUCAUCAAAUCCCCUAGGGUUUCAAACCCGUAAACAUUGAAUCAUACGAUGGCACAACAGAUCCUGCGGUUUGGAUCGAGGACUAUCUCCUUCACAUCCACAUGGCCCGCGGUGAUGAUCUGCACACCAUCAAAUACCUCCCACUCAAGCUUAAAGGACCAGCUCGGCAUUGGCUCAACAGCUUGCCAGCAGAGUCAAUUGGUUGUUGGGAAGACCUGGAAGCCGCAUUCCUUGAUAACUUCCAGGGCACAUAUGUGCGACCACCAGACACAGAUGACCUAAGCCACAUAAUUCAGUAGCCAGAUGAAUCGGCCAGACAAUUCUGGACAUGGUUCUUAACCAAGAAAAAUCAAAUCGUUGACUAUCCGGAUGCAGAGGCCCUUGCAGCCUUCAAACAUAACAUCCGCGACGAGUGGCUUGCCCGGCACCUAGGACAGGAAAAGCCGAAAUCCAUGGCAGCCCUCACAUCACUCAUGACCCGCUUCUGCGCGGGAGAGGACAGCUGGCUAGCUCGCAGUAAUAACCUGACCAAAAACCAUGGUAGUUCGGAUACCAAGGACAGCAAUGGCAGGUCGCGUAGCAACAAGCACAAGCGCCGCAUUAACGGCAAUAAUACUAAAGAUACGGCAGUCAACGCCGGAUUUAGAGGCUCCAAACCCGGUCAGCGGAAAAAGCCGUUCAAAAGAAAUACUCAGGGCCCGUCCAAUUUGGACCGCAUACUCGAUCGCUUGUGCCAGAUACAUGGCACCCCCGAAAAACCAGCCAACCACACCUACAGGGAUUGUUGGGUAUUCAAGCAGGCAGGCAAGUUAAGUGCCGAACACAACGACAAGGGGCUGCAUAGCGAUGACGAGGAGGAGCCCCGGCCGCCGAACAAUAGAGGACAGAAGGGCUUUCCCCCACAAGUGCGGACAGUGAACAUGAUAUACGCAACCCACAUACCCAAAAGGGAGCGCAAGCGUGCACUAAGGGACGUAUACGCGAUGGAGCCAGUCGCCCCAAAGUUCAACCCGUGGUCCUCCUGCCCGAUCACUUUUGAUCAAAGGGACCACCCCACUAGCAUUUGCCACGGCGGAUUCGCCGCAUUGGUUCUUGACCCAAUCAUUGACGGAUUUCACCUCACUAGAGUCCUGAUGGACGGCGGCAGCAGCCUGAACCUGCUUUACCAGGAUACAGUGCGCAAAAUGGGCAUAGACCCCUCAAGGAUUAAACCCACAAAAACGACCUUUAAAGGCGUCAUACCAGGUGUAGAGGCCAAUUGUACAUGUUCAAUUACACUUGAAGUGGUCUUCGGAUCCCCGGAUAACUUCCAAAGCGAGGAGUUAAUAUUCGACAUAGUCCUGUUCCGCAGUGGCUAUCACGCACUGCUCGGACGAACCACAUUUGCAAAGUUCAAUGUGGUGCCACACUACGCAUACCUCAAGCUCAAGAUGCCAGUCCCUCAAGGAGUAAUCACGGUCAAUGGAAACACCGAACGCUCUCUCCGGACGGAGGAGCACACGACGGCCCUCGCGGCGGAAGUACAAAGCAGCCUAUUAAGGCAAUUCUUGAGUCCGAUUACUAAACGUCUGGACACCGUCAAGCGCGCCCGGAGUAACCUACAACAUGACCGCCUGGCACAUUCUGAGCACGCGUAGCAAUGCGGCCCCAACCCCAGCCCUCGCGAAAUCGCGAGACCAGUACCACGCGUACAUAACUACGCUCUAGAGAUACCAUGGGCAUAGGGGAAGGGGCACGACCAAGGCAUGCCCAGAAUGCGGCUCAACCGCACCAGGGGCUCCCUAUUGUGUCAUUCUUUUUUUUUCUCUUUUUUCUUAUUCUCAGGACUCCAUUUUCCAGAAGCCCUGUCCGGCAGUAGAAACGCCGAACUCACGAUGCAACAGCCAGGGAAGCAGAAAAACUACGUCGAGUGUCCAGGUGGUCUUUAUUACAAGCAGUAUACCUGUUUUACAUACCAUCCCGUAGCUUACCCCUGGAGGGGGACAUGUUAAAUAGUCCCAUCCCUUGCUUAUCGCACUAUUUGUAUCGUUCUGCUUUCAUUGUAGUAUCUUUUGAAUAAACAAUACAUAGCUUCUGCUUAUUAUUGCUUUUUCUUUUUUCUUUAUAAAUGUUCAUCUAUGACAUGUUGCACCCGUACAAUUUGGUACGGUUAAUACACCAGGGGCUUAAGUACCCCAAAACAUGGUGUGAUAAGUCUGAAUACUUUCACAAGUGCGGCACUCCGAACUUAUAGCAUUAUAUGAAUCGGCUCCGAAUCAUGUCUUGGGUCAAUAGUUGGGUUUGCCCGGCUCCCAUGUUUUGGUACCUUACGUUCCGCUAUAUCGGCUAAGGUAGCGCUGGGAGAACCACUGCGAUUGUGCCCCGGUUGAGCUGGGUUGAGCACCUCAGUGGAGAAAGCUAAAACUGACCGUCAUGAUAGGGCGAGAGCCGGUCGCUGUUCGAGAGGUUUUUUCGGUCCCUAAAGACUCAUGUCGGUUAGAGCGAAGAGUCGGCAUUGUCCGGCCAAAGGCGUGGAUAGCGCCCCAAACUCGGUCUUCCGAAUACUAGGGGCUUCACCGAAAUUUAAAAUUAUAGAAUUCUAUGGCUAAGUGAGAGUGUUCAAGCAUUAUAGUCCGGUUGCCUCGUUCAUUGUGUUGAACGCCUCCCUCGAAAGGACCCAAGAAUGGGAACAAGAGCGCUCAAGUUUAUCCCGAACACCCCAGCACUCGUGGCAUGGGGGCUGAAGCCAACGACUCGCCAUCUCUCAAAUUUGAUAAACGGACGCACAGAAGGUAUUAUUUUAAAUUAACAAGUGUUGCUUAGCGCAUAUGAACAAAGUUUUCAGCGUACAGGAUAACAAAUGCGAGUCUACUAAAAAAUUACAUCUUUGGAGCAUUCACCCGCUAUAAUGCGGGCACCCUUCAGGACGCCCUUAUAAUACAUCUCGGGCUUGCGAUACUCCUUGCCCGGCGGUGGCGGGUCCGUCACAAGCUUCUCAGCGUCUAUCUUGCCCCACUGCACUUUAGCACGGGCAAGGGCCCGACGGGCACCUUCAAUGCAGGCGGAGUGCUUGAUGACUUCAAUCCAUGGACAGGCGUCCACCAGCCGCCGCACCAGACUGAAGUAGCUCCCAGGCAUGGCUUCCUUAGGCCACAGCCGAACUAUGAGGCCCUUCAUGGUCUGUUCGGCCACCUUGUGGAGCUCGACAGCUGCUUCAGCUGGUCGCUCAGGGGCACCGGAUGUCCGGCCUCAGCAUAUUGAGACCAGAACACCUUUUUCGUCGAGCUCCCCUCCUCGGCUCGGUAGAACGCGGCAGCAUCACACACACUACGGGGCAGAUCGGCGAACGCUCCUGGAGAGCUCCGGAUUCGGGUAAGUAACAGAUAAUUCACUUUUAUAUGCUUGCUUUGCAUAAAGAAUGCCUUACCCGCCGCUAUCUUCUUUAUCGCCUCUAUCUCCUGGAGGGCCUUCUGGGCUUCGGCCUUAGCGGCUUUGGCACUCUCAAGAGCCAAGGCAAGCUCGGACUCUCGAGUCUUUGAGUCACGCUCCAAACUCUCGUGUUUCUCCAUGAGAGCCUGGAGCUCUUGCCGCACCUCCGCCACCCGCGCCUCCUGCUUCUCUCACUCGGUGCGCUCUAAGGCCGCACUGUUUUCGGCAUUGGACACCGCCUCCUUCAGGGUCGCCACCUUGUUUGUGGCCCCUGCAAUACCCAUGUUAUUCCUGUCAUUUUUUGCAACCAAAUCCUUUUCUAUAAGGUACUACUUUAAUAAGGUAUUACUUAUCUUCCUUGUCCUCGAGCUGCUUCUUGGCAAGGCCGAGCUCGUUCUCGGACCGCUCGAGGCUCUGCUUCAAUGCAUUGACCUCCACAGUCAGUGCGGCAGAGGUCAGCAGCACAGCCUGCAUUCCCAUAUUGACAUAUUUCUGUUAGACUCCUGCGUAUAUCUUUUUAGAUCCCCAGCUUGGCUUUUCUUUCCGAACACCAAACUGAGCAUCAGGGGCUACUGUCUAUGCGGUAAUAUUCUUACAUAUCUUAAAAACUUACCUCAAAGCCUGUUAGAAGGCUGGUACAGGCUUCAGUCAGCCCGCUCUUGGCGGACUGAACUUUCUGGAUCACCGCACUCAUAACAGUGCGGUGCUCCUCGUCGAUGGAGGCGCUGUUAAGCGCCUCCAGCAGAUUAUCCAGCGCCUCCGGUUGGACGGAGGCCACCGGCGUCGUAGUCUUGCCCUUCUUACGAAGGGGCUGCCCGCAGGACUCCGGAACCACUGAAGGUUCCGGUACAAAGUCCGGCACAGGGCCGGACUUAGAGCCCCCUGGGGUUUUGCCCCCUUGGCUCCCGGAGUCUGGAAGGUCGCCUUGCGGUGCCUCCAGGACCACCUCCUCCCGGUUGGGCCCCUUUUGGGACUCCACCGCGGUGUCUUUUGCGUCGUGAGGGGAGGAGGCGGUCAGAAGUGAAGUGCUAUUCACAUCCGACGAACCCAGGGAGCCACUCGACGAAGCGGGGAGCUCGUCCUUGGGCGGGCUACAUGGUUGUAUUCGGCAUUAUAAGACACUAUGCGACAGAUGAAACAUCAUGAGUUAUUCUGGAAUCCAGACACUUACGAUCUCGCCAGGGGCUUGGCCCUCGAGGGCCACUCCUCUUCGCCGUCAUCGGCGUUGGUGGAGUAGUCCGGAGGAAGGGUCCUUCCCUUCUUGGACCCUCCGGCCUCCCCAGUUGGGGAGGCCUUCCUUUUCUUCUCUCCCCCCGUUGGGGGAGAAGCCUCCUUCUUCUCCUCCUCGUCUUCGCGGGAGGAGUCCGCCUCAGAGUCAUCGGAUGAUGAGUCCGAUAACACCUGACGUCGGGAACUCUUUCGAGUUCCCGUGGCCUUCUUCUUGGCCUUCUUCUCCGGCACCACGUGAGGUGCCGGAACCAGCAGCCCCGUCAAGCGGGUGUCCGCUGGGUCUUAUGGCAAAGGAGCCGGACAGUUACCCUGCUCGGCCUUCUUCAGCCAGUCCAGCCAAAGGUAAGGGAGUUCAGAUCCCGCAUAGAGUCAAACUAUGAAAAAGUGUCCUUUAAGGGGUAAAAUAGCUUACCUCGUCGGCUUGACGCCGUGAGCUGAAUCCGCGAUCUUCGAUAGCGGAUGCGGGAGCCUCGGCACCCUUGAACAGCACCUUCCAGGCAUCUUCGUACAUAGUGUCGAAGAGCCUGCUCAAGGUUUGGUGCUGUGCCGGAUCAAACUCACACAAUUUGAAGGCCCGUUGUUGGCACGGGAGGAUCCGGCGUAUGAGCAUGACCUGGACUACGUUGACAAGCUUGAGAUUCUUGUUCACCAGCUUUUGGACGCGGGCUUGGAGUCCGGUCAGCUCUUCCGAAUCUCCCCACGUUAGGCCCGUCUCUUUCCAGGAGGUAAGCCAUGUGGGGAAACCAGAUCGGAAUUCGGGGGCCGCCGCCCAUUUGGGGUCGCGCGGCUCGGUGAUGUAGAACCACCCCGAUUGCCACCCCUUUAUUGUCUCCACAAAGGAGCCCUUGAACCAUAGGACGUUGGCCAUCCGGCCUGCCAUGGCACCUCCGCACUCCGCUUGGCGGCCGCCCACUACCUUCGGCUUGACAUUAAAAAUCUUCAGCCAUAAGCCGAAGUGGGGCUGGAUGCAGAGGAAGGCCUCGCACACGACGAUGAACGCCGAGAUGUUGAGGAUGACGUUCGGGGCCAAAUCGUGGAAAUCUAGGCCAUAGUAGAACAUGAGCCCCCGGACAAAUGGGUGAAGUGGAAAACCUAGUCUGCGGAGGAAGUGGGUGAGGAACACCACCCUCUCAUGGGGCCUGGGGGUAGGAAGGAGCUGCCCCUUGUCGAGGAGCCGAUGCGCAAUGUCGCUGGACAACUAUCCGGCCUUCCGCAGCUUCUUGACUUGUUCCUCCGUUACGGAGGAGACCAUCCACUUGCCUCCCGCUCCGGACAUGGCUGGGGAAGGUUGAGGCGAGAUGUGCGGACUUGGGCGCUGGAGCUCGAGUGCGCGGAAAUGGAUAAGCAAAGGAGGAAGAAGGCGUAGGUAAAAAGGUGGAUCCUUAUCCCCUUAUAUGGACGGACGAAACUAUGUGUCCCCACCAGCCUGAUAAAACUCGCUUAUCUCCCAAGCGCCGUAAUCAAUGGCGCAGUUGGGUUACCCACGCCCGUAUUGAUGAGAAUCCCGGGAUAAGGGGACGCGAUCUCUGCUUUGACAAGACGUGCCAAGGAAACCGCCUCGCUAAAAACGCGCUGAGGUGGGACAGUAACAACGAUUCCAGUAAAGGCUUGGCCAUGAUGUGAUGUCACGCUGCAAAAUACGUCAGUAGAUUAAAUUUGUGUAAAGAUUAUUCUCUCUACGGUGGUAUGUGGAACUUAUUUUGCAGAGCCGGACACUAUCCUUGUGUUCAAAAUCUUCUAUGAAGUAUUCGGAGGAGGAACCCGCCUUGCAAUGCCGAAGACAAUAUGCGCGCCGGACUCGUCGUCAUUGAAGCCUAGUUCAGGGGCUACUCAGGGAGUCCUGGAUUAGGGGGUGUCCGGAUAGCCGAACUAUCACCGUUGGCCGGACUCCUAGACUAUGAAGAUACAAGACUGAAGACUUCGUCCCGUGUCCGGAUGGGACUUUCCUUGUCGUGGAAGGCAAGCUUGGCGAUACGGAUAUGUAGAUCUCCUACCAUUGUAACCGACUCUGUGUAACCCUAACCCUCUCCGGUGUCUAUAUAAACCGAAGGGUUUUAGUCUGUAGGACGAACAACAAUCAUACCAUAGGCUAGCUUCUAGGGUUUAGCCUCUCUAAUAUCGUGGUAGAUCUACUCUUGUACAACCCAUAUCAUCAAUAUUAAUCAAGCAGGAGUAGGGUUUUACCUCCAUCGAGAGGGCCCGAUCCUGGGUAAAAACAUCGUGUCCCUUGUCUCCUGUUACCAUCCGCCUAGACGCACAGUUCGGGAACCCCUACCCGAGAUCCGCCGGUUUUGACACCGACACCGCCUCCAACAACGUAGCCGAGUACGGGGCACUCAUACAUGGGCUUCGGCUUGCCAAGGAACUCGGCAUUCGCCGGAUUCUCUGCUAUGGUGACUCCGACUUGGUAGUCCAGCAGUCGUCAGGCGACUGGGACGCCAAGGAUGCAAAUAUGGCAAGCUACCGCUUCCUCGUACAGCAACUCAGUGGAUAUUUUGACGGGUGCGAGUUCCUCCACGUGCCAAGGAAUGAUAACGAGCAAGUGGAUGCCUUGGCACAGAUCGGCUCCACCCGGCAAGCGAUACCAGCCGGCGUCGCCCUAUAGUGCCUCCUUAAGCCGUCUGUCAAGCCUUCACCAGAGUCUGACUCCAUCUUCGUGUCGUCCCCUCCUGAAGCAGUCGGAUCUGACUUGAGGGCCCCAGAAGCUGGCACGGGGACUUCGGCAGGCGGCCCGGGGACUGUUGUUGUCGCGCCCGGCCCGGGGACUGCAGCAGUCGGCCCGGGGACUUCUUCAACUUAGCAGGCGGCAGUCGACUCCAACCCGCCGCCUGCCAACCGCCCUUGUACAAGUUGCAGCCAUGGCAGUCGAAGAAAUAGCAGCACCGUCAUGGGCUCAACCCAUCCUCAACUUUCUGUGAACAAAGAGCUGCCGACUGAUGAGAUUCUAGCCCGACAAGUGCGAUGGCGGGCAGCUGCUUACACCAUAGUCAACAAAGAACUUGUACGGCGCAGUGUCACUGGUGUGUACCAGCGCUGCAUGGAGCCGGACCAGGGUCAAGCAAUUCUCAAAGAUAUCCACCAAGGCAAAUGUGGUCACCAUGCGGCUUCAAGAUCACUUGUUGCCAAAGCUUUCCGCCAUGGCUUCUUUUGGCCGACUGCUCUAGAAGACGCCAAAGAGUUGGUCCAGAAGUGUAAAGGGUGUCAGAAGUUCCGCUCCAAGCCACACUUACCAGCUUCUGCACUCAACACCAUCCCCAUUGUCUGGCCCUUUGCUGUUUGGGGGCUGUACAUGGUGGGGCCAUUCAAGAAAGCUUGUGGUGGCAUGACUCAUCUGCUUGUCGCUGUGGACAAGUUCACCAAGUGGAUAGAGGCAAAGCCAAUCAAGAAGCUGAAUGGGCCGACUGCCGUGACUUUCAUCACCGACAUCACCACUCGGUACGGCAUACCACAUAGCAUCAUCACCAACAACGGCACAAACUUCGCCAAAGGAGCCUUGGCACGUUUUUGCGCGACGCAGGGCAUCCGACUGGACUUAGCGUCCGUUUCCCAUCCGCAGUCAAACGGCCAAGUAGAGCAAGAAAACAGCCUCAUUCUGUCCGGUAUCAAGCCCCGACUGGUCGAGCCUCUAGAGUGUUCGGUCGGCUGCUGGCUUGAUGAGCUGUCGGCCAUCCUCUGGAGCCUGCGCACGACUCCGAACAAGUUGACCGGCUUCACGCCCUUCUUCCUCAUCUACGACGUUGAAGCCGUCAUCCCGACGGACAUAGAGUUCGACUCCCCAUGAGUCACCAUGUACACCAAGGCAGACACCAAGGAGGUGCGGGAAGACGGCGUCGACUUGCUGGAAGAGGGUCGGCUGCUGGCACUCAGCCGGUCCGCCAUCUACCAGCAGAGCCUGCGCCGAUACUACAACCGCAAGGUGAAGCCAAGAUCCUUCCAAGAGGGAGACCUUGUGCUUCGGCUGAUCCAGCGAACAGCCGGCCAGCACAAGCUCUCUGCACCUUGGGAAGGACCUUUCAUCAUACGCAAGGUACUGGGCAACGGUCCCUACUACCUGAUCGACGCUCAGAAGCCCAGAGCACGCAAAAGGGAUAACUCAGGCAAGGAGAUGGAGAGGCCAUGGAAUGCAAACCUCUUCCGAAGAUUUUACAGUUGAAAGCAGUAUGUAUCACGCUACCUUUUGUAUUAAGUACGAAGACUCCAGGUCCCCAGAGAAGAGCUUGGGGACUACCCUCUUUUAUCUAUAUGAUAAGUGUUAUGCCUAUGAGUGUGUGUUGUUUUAUUAUUCUUCCUGGCGACGGGCUCGACCAGUCGGCCCGGAGGCUCACCGCCUUCUGCUAUAUGUUGCCUCCUGUAGCCAGACAAGUAGUGUGUCGGCACCAAAAACUUCCCUUGUCAGAAGCCACAGCUCGCAGAGCGACUGUACGGCGGGCAGGGGUUGCAAAACAAUGCCCACAUGAAAAUGGCUAAGGAAAGUACGCAUAUAGCCGAGGCUGGCAUUCCGCCCUUUCGGCCGGCUACCGAGCAGCCGGUCGGCCGGCUUCUGCUUACCUUGCCGACACUCCAAACGGCUAAGUACUUGCCCUCCCACAAAUAGCUAAGCACUCGACCCAGCCGCAGUCCGCAGUGCGGCUGCUUGGCUGGCAAGAGGAUAGCUAAGGGAGGGCGGCAAAGGAAAAAAGCAAGGAGUAUAAAGCAAGAAAAGUCAGAAGCCGGCAAAGCAAAGCAUGAAUUACGACAAAAUAUUUACAUAGAUAAAGGCGCGCUGGCCAGCAUUCAACAGAGUUUGAUAUACACCCCGUGGGUGGAAUUGUGCAAAUUUAAUCAAAGUUUGUCCAGACUAGUGAGCAGAAAAAGAAAAGAUAACACCCUAAGGGGCCGCGGAAGGCUCCGGCUGGAUGGUGGAGUCAAGAGUGCCGGUUGGUGCAGCAAAGGGAUCCGGCUGGUCGGCAGGGUUGGUGGCACCAGUUGGGGCAUAGGACGGCUGGACGGCAGAGUCGGCGGCGUCCGUCGGUGGAACGGGCGGCCGGUCGGUCUCCGCCUGGCUGCCUCCAGUAGCAGUUGGUGCUUUGGAGCGCGGGUCGUUGCUCGAGGCUCCGUCAGGCUGAGGCUGGCCAUCUGCCCCGACCUCCGGCGCGUCCUCCUCACUUUCCUCCUCUUCCUCCUCCUCCCCUUCAUCGCUGGAGUCGAUCACCUCAGCCAAGUCAUUGCUGUCCUCCAGGUUCAGCCCGAGCCACUCCAGCGGCGCUUCGGCGCCCUCUUCAACCACCUCCAGGAUGAAGACGCUGGUAUCAGUAUAGUCAGGGAUCACCACCGCCCUGCUGAUAAGGUCGGACUCCACCGCCACCAGCUCCUCCUAUGCCUCUAGUCGAAACAUGGUCAGCUGGGCUAGAUCCAGCCCAGGGCACCAUGCCUUGACGAACUCCAGGGCUCGGUGCGCCCCAAAACGGGCUGCAGAACCCUUCCAGGCCUCCAGGCGGCCGGCCGCUACCUCCAGCCAGUCGGCAGUCCGACUGGGAGUGCGCGGAGCCUGCACGCUUGGCCAGAGGGCGGAGAUCGCCUGGGCCCCAAUGCGCUGAAGGCGGCGCAGCAUUUGAUGGGAAGGCCGAAGACGGGCCUAGAUGCUGAGGAGCUGCUCGUUGAGGAUUCGGGGGGCGUCAGCGGCAAUCUGCACGCCUUCCGCCCUCCGCUCCUGGCGUUGGGCCUCGAUGAUCUGGUUCACGAUGACGGAGUGGCCGGGGAAGAAGUCUGUUUGAACGGGAGGCAAGAAAAGCCAAAGGUCAGAAGCUAGCAGUCGGCCUAGAUAAGGGCCGACGACUCAAAGCAAGAAAGAAAAGAAAAAGAGGCUUACCGUCGACCAAGUCUUCGAUGCUGCUGAAGCAGGCGGUCAUAUGCGCCUCCUUGUCGGCCCAGGCGGAGCGCUCGAUCUCGAACUCGUCAAGGAGGUUGGUCUCCUUCGCCUUCGCCUUCCUCUGAGCUGUCUUGAGGGCCUCCGACUACUCCGCGAGCUGAGUGAUUAGCCGGUCAUGCUCCUCGGCCAGCUUGCUGCACUCCGCCUCCUUGCUGCGCAGGGCGGUGUUGGCUUUGCCCAGCUGCUGCUGCAAGGUGGCGUUGGCCUCUGCAAAAAGGGGAGGAAGAAAAGAACGUCAGUCAAUUAACAAAGAAGGGACACAGUUGUCGGGGAGAUCCGAACCGACUGCUUAGCAGUCGGCCCGAAUCUCGAGGACUAUAGCCUGCGGGUGUGCUAUCGCGCCCCCGCAGAGAAAAAGUUAUCAACAAAAAUAAAGUCACUAGAAAGAUCUGGCCCGACUGCUCAGCAGUCGGCCCGAAUCUCGGGGACUAUAGCUCGCGGGUGCGCCAGCGCGCCCCCGCGAAGGAAGGAAGUCAAAACUUACUCCGUCUCUCGGAUAAGUGGGCGGUCUGCUUCUCCAGCUCCCGGACUCCGGAGUUGAAGGUGGGCGCGCGAAGAUUGUGAUAAUCCUGCAAAGGGAUGUCAGAUAAAGUUAGAGUUCGACACUUGCAAGCUAAAGUUUCGGACCGCCUGCUCAGCAGCCAGCCCGAAACUUGGGGACUACACCCAGUGGGUGCGCUGGCGCGCCCCCACGAAGGAAGAAAGAAGAUCAAAAUAAAGGAGAAGUAAGAAACUUACUCAAAUGGCUGCCCGCGAAUCCAGGAAUGCCUCGUUGCAUCGCUUGAGGGCCUCGGCUUCAGCCCGGAGCUUGGCCUGGAUGUCGAGGGCCGCCUGGUUCAGGGCUCGCGUCCCGCCUCCACGUACCCAGCCGGCGGGCGCGGCGCUGGUCGCCUCGGUGUCAGGGACCGAUGAGCUCAUGGCACCGGCCUCCAGCGGCCGCGGUGCCGAAGCUGCCUUCGCCAGACGGCGGCGCGCGGUUGUGCGGACCUCAGGAGUUAGGUUCGUCACCACCUUGUUCCCGGCCGGCUGCCCAUCUUGCGCUCCGUCGGCCGUCGGUGGUGGUGGCACGAUGACGUCCGGCAUGGCCACGUCACCGCCCUCCCUCUCCAUGACCGGCUACUCGUCGCCGGCUCCCCCAGUCGUCGCCACAAAUUCUGGUGGAGGCGUCGCGGUGCCCAGGGGAACAACGAGCAACGGCUCCUGGCGGCGCGCGGCCUUUGCGAGCCGCUCCUUCACCGCGGCGUCAGCCUCCGCCUGCACCAGCUUCCUCGCCGCAGACGCCGCCGCCUUAUCAGCCUCCGCCUUCGCCAGGCGGUCGGCUUCCUGUUCCUCAUGCACCUCCCGCGUGUUCUGCUCCUGCGCCUCCCGGAGGUCGGCAGCCGGAUCGAUUCACCGGGUGGUGGUGGAAGUCUUCGCUGACCUGAUGACCGAGGCGGCGGCCGACUUCUCGAGGGUGAGCGGGGCCCUCAGAUAAGAAGGCAAGAUAAAGAAGUUUUUUAGGCCAGAUCGGCAAAGAAGUGGAAGCGUAAGAAGAAUACUUACGCUGACACCAUGGGCGGCAGCUUCGGUUGCCUCUGGAACUUGGCUACCUUUGCUGCAGCCUCUUUCCGCCUGGUCACCGUGGGCGGGUUCUUGGGCUUCUUCGGUGCGCUGCCGAAUAGGACAGUGCCCUGCUUCCGCUUCCGCUUGCCGCCUCGGGCGGACGGCCGGUAGAAGGGCUUGCGCCGGUGUUAGCAGUGCUCCGGGAGGGGUGCGGCUCGUCUUCAUCGUCGUCAUCAUCGGGCCAGGUCUCCAUGCCGCCGCCCUCCUCGGAGUUGCCUGCUCCGUCGCCGCCGCCUGCUGCGUCGUCCUCCAAGGCGGCCGCCCCCAAGUCCGGGUCGUCCUUGUCGCUCACCACCCAGCCCCACGAUGGCGGCCGUCGCCGCAGACAUAUAAAUCUGUGUUCCGGCGAAGGAGUUGUGUCACACCAGGAACAAGACUAAAGUCAGAGCCAAAAGAAGAAAUUGAGGGACUUACGGCAGGCGGCGGUUUGUCGCGGGGAUACGGCCGCUUCCCGAACCGCCAGGCCCUCUCCGACACCUUGAGGUCAGAGAUCUCGUUCACCAUCCUCACCACCUCGGCAGUCGGCAUCUCCUUUGUGCACAUCCUGCUCGGGUCACGAUGUCCGCUCAUCCGACAGAUCAGAUGAGGGCGGCCUUGAAGUGCAAGAACCCGGCGCUCGACGAAGGUGAUGAGCAGGUCGGACGGCACGAGACCCUCCGACUCCUGGAGCACCUGAAGCCGGCUGAUGGCAGCAGCCGCGUCAGCCGACACCGGCUUCGGCUUGUAGCCCCAGUUGGGCCGAGGCCCGACAGGGGGGGCCGGCCUCGUAGGCCGGUAGGUUGAUGAAGUCGACUUCCGGGUCGACGUUCUCAACGUAGAAAUAAGAUUGCUGCCACAGUUUCACCGACUGUGACAGCUUGAUGACCGUGAAGGCGUUCCUCUUCACCAACCGGCGCAUGGCGAUGAAGCCGCCGCACUCGGCCGCCGUCUCCUUGGCGGAGGUGCCCAGCUUGCCGUAGAAGAAUGCUCCCCACAGCUCGACGGUGGGGAGGAUGCUGAGGUAGCCCUUGCACGCCGUGACAAAGGCGGAGAGCAGAGUCACGGUGUUGGGCGUCAUGAGAUGCAGCUGGAGGUGGUUGAAGUCCAUGAACGAGCGGAGGAAGCGGCUCGCCGGGAGGCCGAAGCCGCGGAGGAAAUGCGAGUGGAAGAUGGCCCGCUCGUCCCCCUGCGGCGCCGGCGAGAUCUCCUGUGAUGGCGGCACCCGCACCUUGACGAAUGCCGCGUUGGGCAUCCGGCGCAUGUUCCGGAGGAAGGUGAGGUGAUCCUCUAUCACCGUCGAGCCAUCCCAGUCGCCGCCCUUCUCACGCGCUAUGGCCUCGAGCGGAGCUGCAUGGGGAGAAGAUGCGCGGCGGCGGUGAACUGCGGCGGCGCUACGGCGAGCGCUAAGCAGCAGCGGUGGCGGUAGAGAGAGAGGAGGAGGAAGAGAGUGUGGGGAGGAGGGCGCGCGAGCUCCACCGCUCCCCUGCCUCCCCCUACUUAUAGCCCCCAAGCUGCGAAGCCGAGGGGACGGGGCGUGGGAUCAUGGGAUUAACUGUGCCCAUGACCCCACGACCCCUCGAUUACCGCGUGGGGUUACUGCGCCAUAACACCCACAGGAAUCGCAACUGCUCGCCCCGGCCGCAGCGGAUCCGCCUGCGUGCCGAGGCCUGAUAGUGGUGGGCCUGACCCACUGUCACGUCCCAUCAGGAUCAUGGGGUGGCAGGCUGGCCGGGCUGACGUACGCCGCGUGGCGUGCCCGUGACGGGCGGCGGGCCUGGGAAGCUUAGCAGGCACGCCAACUGUUUCCCGCCUUGAUGUUCAAAAUUGGCGGAUGAUCCCGCCUGGACGAAACCAACUCCAGCAGUCGGCGCGUCGCAAGGCAGAUCAAGCUCUUUGCUCAUAACACAGAGAGAGGGGAAGCUACUGAGACUUCCCGACCCUUUGGCCGCAACGCCUCACCAGCUUCGGGGACUACUGUCGGAGUAAUGGGCCACGGGUAGCCUCACUCGAGUCCCUGAACCUGUCAAAACUUUGGGCCGGCUUCGCCCCACGAAACCUCAUACUGAAGCACCGCCUUUCGGAGGCCGGCUGGCUUAACAGCCGGCCACCGGAGGAUGGCCAAGCACUAGCAGACGGCACCAAGAACGGCCGGCUCCUAUCAGCCGGCCUCCAGAGAGGUCGGCGUCAAGCAGGCGGCCACCCGGCACCCUCAAAGCAUGCGCCCUCAUCAAGAGGACAAGACAGGGUGAGGCUAUAGUGUAGUCCCUCACCCCCGAAUCUUGGGCUUGGCGUGGCUACAUUGCCUCGUACCGGCGGAGAUCUCUGCCGGGCGCAGCACUGUUGCCACUUCUCCCUCUACGUCACUCCUAACAGGCAGAGUCAUGUUCCCCAUGACGACCUGUCGGUAUGGCAUGCAGGCGGCGGGCCCUACCAGGCAGCGAGAGCCCGGAAGACGGCAGAAGCCAGACCAGCCGAACCCGAGGGAGGCCGGCCUCCAUUAGACAGCCAGCUCCUCCCUCGAGGACCGUGCACCAUCAACCAGAUAAGACAUGGUGUGGCUACAGUGAUCUCCCACCAGGCGGUGGGACUGUAGCCACACUCAACUGACCAAGCCUGCGUCAUUAGCAGCACGGCUACAGUGAACAACCACCAACCAGACCCGCCAGCGGCGGGAGCGGCCUGUCGGCUCCGUACCGGACCAGUCUGUAGGGCCCACCAGGAGGCAGGCCCCAGCGGUCGGCAAAGAAGCCGGCGACCAGAGAUGCUGACAGCCAGGCCCUGCACCCGGCCAGAUUACCAUUGUACCCCUAGGGGGUAGGCCUAUAUAACCCCUCCCCCCCCAGGGCACCCAUGCAAAGGGUUUCCACUCCAUUAGAACUAGCCACUACCCUAGAGUAAGAAGAGAGCUAGCCUUGCCUCCUUCUACCUCUAGCACACAGCUCAAGGAGCACCAUUGUAUCACUUGUGCCUUAGUGAUCAUGCGGAGACCCCGCAAAGCAGGACUAGGGGUGUUAUCUCCUAGGAGAGCCCCGAACCUGGGUAAAGUGUGUCGGCGUUCGUGUCUAUGCCUUAUCCCGCUUCCAGGCACCGGCGACGUUCUACUCGCUCCCACCAUGAUAAGCCAUCCAUUGAUAUAUAUCGCACCCAACCCCCGACAAGGCCCUUGUUUAUUUAUCUUUUGUAAGGAAAGAGGUCCAUGGGUGUUUUGCCGCUCUGUUAAUUCUGCCAAGGAGCCAGGCCAUUGAGUCCGUUAUUUGUACGUGAUCUAGGGCUCAAGUCUAAAUGUACACGAACAUACACUUCCUCUACUGCUAGUACUUUUCCGAUGGAUUACAACUUAGCAGCAUAAUUAACCUAAUUAAUAUAGUAGUACUUUUCUUAUGGAUUAAUUUACCCAAUAGAUGUUUCUUUGGAAAGACCAAAUAAAUUAAACAUUGCUGCUAAUUGCUAUCCUUCUAAUUACCUAAUUUUAUUUCUUUGUUGUAUGAUCAAUCUAUCUCCCCAUCAAUAUUUUACGAGUAUUAUGUUCUCUUCUUUGACAUGUUACAAGUAUUAUAUUUGAUACAAUAUAAUAGAUAAUUGUUAAAAGCUACACCCUCGUAAACAAAUAUAAGACAUUUUAGUUCACUAUUUUAGUGAUCUAAAAUGUCUUAUAAUUGUUUGCAGAGGUAGUAAGUGGUUUUGAAUUUUUUUUGGUUUCGCCCCCCUCCUCCCCUCAUGUCCAAUUCCUGGCUCCGCCCCAGGCCUGCUUCGACGCAAUUUUCUCUUUCAUCUAUGGGUGUUUGUUGUACCCCUUUAUUCUUGUAUUCUUAGUGAAAUGAAAACAACGUUGCUAUCUUUCUAAAAAGACCAUCCAAUCCAUCAAUUAUCUGUACAAUUUUAUCCUUUCCUAGUAAAUCUCACGGGAAUCUGGCGUGUUGCCCCAUCUGGGACGACGAAGGGGUCGUUGGUUUAUGAGAAAGAUUGCCUAAAAACCUCCCCUAUAAGUGUGUUUAAGGGCUCUUUCACACCAACUGCAGUGCUCUUAAUAUGUUUCAUCUCACUAGAAAAUGAUCCUUCUGAAGCACUUACAAUUGUAUUGAUCAAAGGGAAAAAAUGUUUCCUACCACACGAAAAUCGCACCAAAAGAUGCUUUGUGCAUCAAAUACAAUGCUUCCAUGCUGGAAAAAUCAUGUUGCCAACGACAAAGGAACACGUGUUUAGAAUGGACUUAGAACUAAUCUUAAUUUUUCAAAAUUCUUUUCACAAAAAGAAAAGGGUUGACGUGAUUCCAGAAAGUUGUUUCUAGAGCAUCUACAACCGGGCAUCCCAAACCCUCCUCAAACGUUUGGGCGGCCCGCUCGGUCACUGACCAGAAUUUUGACCCAGACGGACGCCUCAAACGGGCCUCAAAUGCCCCGUAGGAUUGAAAAUAUGUCUGGAGGGGGAGGGGUGAUUAGAGUACUUGAUCAAAUAAAAAUCUAUUAUUUUCCCAGUUUUAGUUGUGGGCAUAUUUUAGCAAUUCUACCAAGUCUAGUAUUACCCCUACACAUGCAAUUCUAAGAGUAUAGCAGCGGAAAGUAAAAUAUUGCACAUGUAAGCAAAGGAGGAGUUUGGAGAUAGCAAACACAAUGGAGACACGUUGGUUUUUGGCGUGGUUCUGAUAGAUGGUGCUAUCAUACGUCCACGUUGAUGCAGACUUCAAACCAUGGAUGGUAACGGUUGCGCGAGUCCACAGAGGGCUCCACCCACAAAGGAUCCACAAAGAAGCAACCUUGUCUACUCUAUCAUGGCCUCCGUCCACGAAGGACUAGCCUCACUCGGGUAGAUCUUUAGGAAGUAGGCGAUCUCCUUGCCCUUUCAAACUUCUUUGUUCAACUCGCAUCAUCUUGGAGGCUCCCAAGCGACACCUAACCAAUCUAGGAGACACCACUUUUCAAAAGGUAAUAGAUGUUGUCGUUGAUGAUGAACUCCUUGCUUUUGUGCUUCAAAUAAUAGUCUCCCCAACACUCAAUUACGCUCUCACAGAUUUGGCUAUCGUGGAAGAAGGAUUUGAGUGGAAAGCAACUUGGGGAAGGCUAGAAAUCAAGUUUCAAAUGGUUGGAUUGGAAUCUCUUGAUCUGAACACAUGAGUAGGUGGUUCUCUCUCAGAAAAUGAAUGGUCACUGGUACGCGUCGGUGCUAUACAAACGGUUUUAAACCCCUUUCCGUGACGGCAUUCUGAACCGUCACCUAGUGAGUGUGGGCGAUUAGGGGGUCCUUCGCACACGACCCAAAAACCGUCGGGGAUAUGCCCUCCUGGCACACACGCUCGGCAAAAUGAGGUCAUGUGCGACCGGUGAUAACCCGCAAGUAUAGGGGAUCGCAAUAGUUUUUGAUAAGUAAGAGUGUCGAACCCAACGAGGAGCUAAAGGUAGAACAAAUAUUCCCUCAAGUUCUAUCGACCACCGAUACAACUCUACGCACGCUUGACGUUUGCUUUACCUAGAACAAGUAUGAAACUAGAAGUACUUUGUAGGUGUGACGGGAUAGGUUUGCAAGAUAAUAAAGAGAGCGUAAACAUAAACUAGGGGAUGUUUAGAUAAAGACACAACUAAAUUAGUAAAAGUAAAGACCUUGUUGUCACAAGAAAGUUAUUUGUCCCUAGGCAAUCGAUAACUAGACCGGUAAUCAUUAUUGCAAUUUUAUUUGAGGGAGAGGCAUAAGCUAACAUACUUUCUCUACUUGGAUCAUAUGCACUUAUGAUUGGAACUCUAGCAAGCAUCUGCAACUACUAAAGAUUCAUUAAGGUAAAACCCAACCAUAGCAUUAAAGCAUCAAGUCCCCUUUAUCCAAUACGCAACAAUCCCUCUUACUCGGGUUUGUGUUUCAGUCACUCACCAACCCACUAUAAGCAAAUCAUGAACAUAUUGCAACACCCUACGACGGGAAUCCCUCACGCUUGCGCGACAUAGAGGGCACCAUAGAACAGCACCAAUAAUAAAAACAUACAACUCAAACCAAUCACGAUCAUCAAAUAGCCAUUAGGACAAAACAGAUCUACUCAAACAUCAUAAGAUAGCCAUACAUCAUUGGGGAAUAAUAUAUAGUGUUGAGCACCAUGUUUAAGUAGAGAUUAAAGCGAGUAAGAGAGAGGUUACACCAGUGCAUAGAGGGAGGAAGAGUUGGUGGAGAUGUUGGUGAAGAUGGCGGCGGUGUUGGUGAAGAUCGCGGUGAUGAUGAUGGCCCCCGGCAGCAUUUCGGCGCCACCGAAAGCAAGGAGGAGAGGGCCCCCCUUCUUCUUCUUCUUCCUUGACCUCCUCCCUAGAUGGGAGGAGGGUUUCCCCUCUGUUCCUUGGCUCCCAUGGCUUGGGAGGGGCGAGAGCCCCUCCGAGAUUGGAUCUAUCUCUCUGUUUCUGCGUUCCCUGCGUUGGCAGAUUCUACCCCUUCACCGUUUCCUUUAUAUCCAGAGAUCCGUAACUCCGAUUGGGGUGAAUCUUUCGCCCAGAUCUUUCUCAUAAAAUUAAUAUUCUUGCGCCAGAAGGAGAGUGUCAACCGCCUUACGGAUGGACCACGAGGGUCAGGGGCGCGCCUGGGGGGGGUAGGGCGCGCCCCCCUACCUCGUGCCCACCUCGGGUAUUGAUUUGCGUUGAUUUUACUUCCCAAAAAUCAUAAAUAUUCCAAAAAAAAUCUCCGUCCUUUUUUUCCGUUUGUACUCCAUUUGAUAUUGGGUUUCUGCAAACAAAAAACAUGCAACAGACAGGAACUGGCACUGGGCACUGGAUCAAUAAGUUAGUCCCAAAAAUAAUAUAAAAAGUUGCCAAAAAGUAUAUGAAAGUGAAUAAUAUUGGCAUGGAACAAUCAAAAAUUAUAGAUACAACGGAGACGUAUCAGCAUCCCCAAGCUUAAUUCCUGGUCGUCCUCAAGUAGGUAAAUGAUAAAAAUAAUAAUUUUUGAUGUGGAAUGCUACCUAGCAUAAUCUUGAUCAUAAGUCCAAUCAUGGCAUGAAUAUUAAGACACGAGUGAUUCAAAGCAAUAGUCUAUCAUUUGACAUAAAAACGAUAAUACUUCAAGUGUACCAAUAGAGCAAUCAUGUCUUUUCAAAACAACAAGGCCAAAGCAAGCUUAUCCCUACAAAAUCAUAUAGUUUGGCCAUGUUUCAUUUUCGUCACACAAAAUGCCCCCAUCAUGCACAACCCCGAUGACGAGCCGAGCAAUUGGUUCAUACUUUUUAACGCGCUUCAGCUUUUCAACCCUCACGCAAUACAUGAGCGUAAGCCAUGGAUAUAGCACUAUAGGUGGAAUAGAAUAUAAUGAUGGAGGUUACGUGGAGAAGACAAAAAGGGAGAAAGUCUCACAUCGACGCGGCUAAUCAACAGGCUAUGGAGAUGCCCAUCAAUUGAUGUCAAUGCGAGGAGUAGUGAUUGCCAUGGAACGGAUGCACUAGAGCUAUAAGUGUAUGAAAGCUCAACAAAAGAAACUAAGUGGGUGUGCAUCCAACUUGCUUGCUCAUGAAGACCUAGGGCAUUUGAGGAAGCCCAUCGUUGGAAUAUACAAGCCAAGUUCUAUAAUGAAAAUUCCCACUAGUAUAUGAAAGUGACAACAUAGGAGACAAUCUAUAUGAAUAACAUGGUGCUACUUUGAAGCACAAGAUAUGAGACUCACUACAUGAAGAACAUGGUGCUACUUUGAAGCACAAGUGUGGAAAAAGAGAUAGUAACAUUGCCCCUUUUCUCUCUCUCUUUUUGGUGGGCUUCUAUGGCCCCCUUUUUUUUAUUUAGGCUUCUUUGGCCUUUCCCCCUUUUUUUAUGGGGCAAUGUUCUAUAAUGAUGAUCAUCACACUUUUAUUUACUUACAACUCGAUAUUACAACUCGAUACUGGAACAAAGAUAUGACUCUAUAUGAAUGCUUCCGGCGGUGUACCAGGAUGUGCAACGAUCUAGCAUAGCAAUGACAUCAAAAAAUGGACAAGCCAUGAAAACAUCAUGCUAGCUAUCUUACGAUCAUGCAAAGCAAUAUGACAAUAAAUGCUCAAGUCAUGUAUAUGAUGAUGAUGGAAGUUGCAUGGCAAUAUAUCUCGGAAUGGCUAUGGAAAUGCCAUGAUAGGUAGGUAUGGUGGCUGUUUUGAGGAAGAUAUAAUGAGGCUUAUGUGUGAUAGAGCGUAUCGUAUCACGGGGUUUGGAUGCACCGGCGAAGUUUGCGCCAACUCUCGAGGUGAGAAAGGGCAAUGCACGGUACCGAAGAGGCUAGCAAUGAUGGAAAGGUAAAAGUGCAUAUAAUCCAUGGACUAGUCAUAAAGAACUCAUAUACUUAUUGCAAAAGUUUAUUAGUCCUCGAAGCAAAGUACUACUACGCAUGCCCCUAGGGGGAUAGAUUGGUAGGAAAAGACCAUCGCUCGUCCCCGACUGCCACUCAUAAGGAAGACAAUCAAAGAAACACCCGAUGCUUCAAAUUUGUCACACAAAGGUUACCAUACGUGCAUGCUACGGACUUGCAAACCUCAACACAAGUGUCUCUACAAUCCACAACCAACCACUAGCAUAACUCUAAUAUCACCAUCUUUAUAUCGUAAAACUAUUACAAGGAAUCAAACAUAUCAUAUUCAGCGAUCUACAAGCUUAUGUAGGAUUUUAUGACUAACCAUGUGAAUGACCAGUUCCUGUCAUCUCUCUAAAUAGAUAUAAGUGAAGCAAGAGAGUUUAAAUUCUUUCUACAAAAGAUAUGCCCACGCUCUGACAAAUAUAAGUGAAGCAAAAGAGCAUUCUACAAAUGGCGAUUGUCUAUGUAAAGAGAAACAGGCAAUCCAAACUUCAAAUGAUAUAAGUGAAGCACAUGAAGCAUUCUAUAAAGCCAUACUCAAAAUAUUUAAGUGAAGUGCAAUGAGCAUUCUAUAAAUCAACCAAGGACUAUUUCAUACCAGCAUGGUGCAUAAAAGAAAAAGAAAAACCUAAUUGCAAAAGACGCUCCAAGACUUGCACAUAAUGCAUGAACGAAACAAAUCCGAAAACAUACCGAUACUUGUUGAAGAAAGAGGGGAUGCCUCCCCAGCAUCCCCAAGCUUAGACGCUUGAGUCUCCUUUCCUUCUUCUCACAUCGAAACAUCCUCGAUUAGACACUACAUCCACACAAAACUUCAACAGAAAACUCAGUAAGAUCCGUUAGUAUAAUAAAGCAAAUCACCACUCUAAGUACUGUAGCAAACCAAUUCAUAUUUUGUUUUUGCAUUGUGUAUACUGUAAUAUAACUUUUCCAUGGCUUAAUCCACUAAUAUAAAUUGAUAGAUUCAUCAAAACAAGCAAACUAUGCAUCAAAAACAGAAUCUGUCAAAAACAGAACAGUCUGUAGCAAUCUGAACAUCCACCAUACUUCUGGUACUCCAAAAAUUCUACCAAAAUUAGGAAAAAUAAAAACGUUGUAUAGAAAGACAGUGCAAAAGGAAUCAGAACCAUUUGACGUUCCAGUUAAAAAUGUAAAAUCGUGCACUACGGCCAAAAUUUCUGUCCUGCACCGUACAAACCAACAAGCAUUGCAAACAUCCUAAAGGCAAACCUUGGCACAUUAAUUUUAUAAUACAAAGGAAUUAUACAAGGGGAUAAUUAUUUUUGAUGAAAAGUUUCUGUAAUCAAGAUUCGCAAAGUUUCCGUGAGCAUGAACAAAGUUCAAGGAGCUCUCCCACUUCAACAAUGCUUGUCUCUCACUUUCACUUUCCUGUUUGAAAAGUUUUAGGUUCCCCUCUUUAUUUUUUUGUUUUUAAACUAUAUGAAAGAACUCAUCAGAAAUAAAUGACUCUCUAAAACUUCCGGGUUGUCUCCCUGGCAGCGCUUUCUUUAAAGCCAUUAAGCUAGGCAUUUAGUGCUCAAGUAAUGGAUCCACCCGGAUCCCAAGGUAUAUCAAAGCCAAUUUUAAUUAACAACGAUUUGUAAUUAAGUAGUGAGCACAAAGUAACAUAUAUCAUGCAACAACGAAGUCUAACUCUCUUCAUAUGCAUCGGCAUGUCAUAAAAGAAUAAUUCAUGCACACCAAGUAAAGGCCAAUGCAUAGCAUAAACAGUUUCUUGCAAUUCUAUCGUGUUGGGAACAUAGAGAGAUGGAGAUAAAGUUCCUCUCUCAUAAUAAUUGCAAAUAGGAGCAGCAAGCACAUGCAUAUUACAUUCAUCAAAAUCAUCAUGUGCAAUGGUAAAAGGCAGCCCAUCAAUAUAAUCCUUAAUAAGUGCAAACUUCUCCGAUAUAGUGUAGUUGGGAGAAUUCAAAAAAGAUAAUAGGACUAUCAUGCGUGGGUGCAAUAGCAACAAUUUCAUGUUUAACAUAAUGAACUAUAGCAAGUUCAUCUCCAUAAGCAUAAUUCAUAUUGGCAUCUUGGCCACAAGCAUAGCAAGCAUCAUCAAAAAGGGAUAUUUCAAAAGAAUCAAAGGGAUCAUAACAGUCAUCAUAGCAAUCAUCCUUCGGUAAGCACGAAGGGGAAUUAAACAAUGUAUGAGUUGAAGAGUUACUCUCAUUGGAAGGUGGGCACGGGUGAUCAAUCCGCUCUUCCUCCUUUUGUUCUUCGCUCUUCUCAUCAUCUUUUUCAUCCAAUGAGCUCACAGUUUCAUCAACUUCCUCUUCCAUAGGCUCCUGCAAAAUAUUAGUCUCUUCUUGCACAGCGGAGACUUUCUUAAUAAGUGCAUUAAUUUCAUAAUUGUAUUUAUAAUUCUCAUAGCAAUAUUUGAGGAUAGCUAAAUUUUCAGAUCUAUAACAAGCAUCAUCAAAAUCCUCAAACUCUUUAAACAUGGAUUCAAUUUCAUAAGCACCCAUAAAAGCAACAAAUUCUUCUAUUUGUUUCACAUCAUAGUAAUCAUAUAUACCUCUAGCAUAAGAAGCCAAGGUUUCAUUCUCAUUAAAUUUGCAUGAAAAGGGGAGGUGUGGAGCAUUCAUCCUAGAGCAACAAGUAUAAUCAUAUUCUAUUCCGAGCAUAGUUGUCUAGCAUACCACUUCAACAUAUUAAUUUGAUCCCAUAAUGGUUUCCCUUUUUGUGUCGAGCGAUAAUUCCUAAAGUAUUCACGUUGAUCCAACGUUACUCCCAUUAUAAAGUUGAAUGGGGUUUUCUCAGGAUUAUCAAAGUAGUACAAAAUAUUUUUCUCAUGAUGAGAAUCGAGGGUUUUAGGAGUUACCCCAUCCUCAUGAGUAUCAAGUACACCUAAUUUUUUGGUAUUUUGUGUUCCAUAUCCAUAACUAAAGAUAGAGAACAACUAAGAACAGCAAAUAAAAAUUACUUAGUGAUAAAGCAAACAAGCACACACGAGAAUAUUCACCCCACGCUAUGACUCCCUAGCAACAUCGCCAGAAAAAGGCCUUGAUAACCCUCAAGUAUAGGGGAUCGCAACAGUUUUUGAUAAGUAAGAGUGUCGAACCCAACGAGGAGCUAAAGGUAGAACAAAUAUUUCCUCAAGUUCUAUCAACCACCAAUACAACUCUACGCACGCUUGACGUUCGCUUUACCUAGAACAAGUAUGAAACUAGAAGUACUUUGUAGGUGUGACGGGAUAGGUUAGCAAGAUAAUAAAGAGAGCGUAAACAUAAACUAGGGGCUGUUUAGAUAAAGACACAACUAAAUUAGUAAUAGUAAAGAGCUUGUUGUCACGAGAAAGUUAUUUGUCCUUAGGCAAUCGAUAACUAGACCGGUAAUCAUUAUUGCAAUUUUAUUUGAGGGAGAGGCAUAAGCUAACAUACUUUCUCUACUUGGAUCAUAUGCACUUAUGAUUGGAACUCUAGCAAGCAUCCGCAACUACUAAAGAUUCAUUAAGGUAAAACCCAACCAUAGCAUUAAAGCAUCAAGUCCCCUUUAUCCCAUACGCAACAAUCCCUCUUACUCGGGUUUGUGUUUCAGUCACUCACCAACCCACUAUAAGCAAAUCAUGAACGUAUUGCAACACCCUACAACGGGAAUCCCUCACGCUUGCGCGCCACGGAGGGCACCAUAGGACAGCACCAAUAAUAAAAACAUACAACUCAAACCAAUCACGAUCAUCAAAUAGCCAUUAGGACAAAACAGAUCUACUCAAACAUCAUAAGAUAGCCAUACAUCAUUGGGGAAUAAUAUAUAGCAUUGAGCACCAUGUUUAAGUAGAGAUUACAGCGAGUAAGAGAGAGGUUACACCGCUGCAUAGAGGGAGGAAGAGUUGGUGGAGAUGUUGGUGAAGAUGGCGGCGGUAUUGGUGAAGAUCGCGGUGAUGAUGAUGGCCCCCGGCAGCGUUCUGGCGCCACCAAAAGCAAGGGGGAGAGGGCCCCCCUUCUUCUUCUUCUUCCUUGACCUCCUGCCUAGAUGGGAGGAGGAUUUCCCCUCUGUUCCUUGGCUCCCAUGGCUUGGGAGGGAUGAGAGCCCCUCCGAGAUUGGAUCUAUCUCUCUGUUUUUGCGUUCCCUGCGUUGGCAGAUUCUACCCCUUCACCGUUUCCUUUGUAUCCGGAGAUCCGUAACUCCGAUUGGGGUGAAUUUUUCGCCCAGAUCUUUCUCAUAAAAUUAGCUUUCUUGCGCCAGAAGGAGAGCGUCAAUCGCCUUACGGGUGGACCACGAGGGUCAGGGGCACGCCUGGGGGGUAGGGCGCGCCCCCCUACCUCGUGCCCACCUCGGAUACCGUUUCGCGUUGAUUUUACUUCCCAAAAAUCAUAAAUAUUCCAAAAAAAAAUCGCUGUGCUUUUUUUUCCGUUUGGACUCUGUUUGAUAUUGGUUUUCUGCAAAACAAAAAACAUGCAACAGACAGGAACUGGCAUUGGGCACUGGAUCAGUAAGUUAGUCCCAAAAAUAAUAUAAAAAGUUGCCAAAAGUAUAUGAAAGUGAAUAAUAUUGGCAUGGAACAAUCAAAAAUUAUAGAUACGACGGAGACGUAUCAACCGGCGAGCGAGCAAAUACGGUUAUACGUACAGUAGUGCUCAAAAAAGUACAAUUAUACAUGCGCAAUCAUUUUCGGUCGUAAGUUUAUCCCACACAAUCAGUCCCCGCGAAACGUUUCCAUUCAUACAUACAUCCCACACAGUCGCUGCAAGGAAAACGUUUCCAUUCGUAGGUACAUCACACACAAUUUUCCCCGUUAAGUCGUUUGUGAUGGCCUUUCCAUCGCACACAAUAUUAAAAAAAUAUUGUUUGUGUUAUUGAAUGCAUCGCACACGGUGCGUAGAAGAAACUGUGUGCGUUGCCUUAGGUCAUCGCCCAUGGUAUUUUCUCAAUAACUGUUUGCAAUAGCAAAAACCAAUUAACAAGCUAAUUGACUUAUUAUUAAUAAUCCAUUUAUUAAUCUAAUUGACAUUCAUAUUAAACACAUAAUAUAUUUCAUUCCCAUAUUAAGGAAGCAGGAUUUCAUAAUUGAAAUACAUCAGAGUACAACAUGAUAUAGCUUUAGCACUCAGCUACCCCAUUACACAACUGCAUUAGCACCAAAUUUCACGUGCAACGUCUAGAACCUUUCGAAAUUAGCAUCAUAGACGGUACAUAGACAGAUGCAUCUCAUCGGGAAAAUUGCUGAAGCAGAAGGCGAAUAUGGGGCAUUCGUUGAUGUUGAAGGUCUUUGCAACUUUAGGCCAGUGCCUGUGGAUGAUUGACCGUCCAUCCUUCGUCCUCUUCAGGAACACUUCAAUAUUGAACCGUGGGUGUUGUAUGAAAACCUUCCUCGCCUCCUGUCCAUAUAGGUGGUUUCAGAGGUAAUCAUCAGUGAACUGUUUUGAAAAGGCCUGAAAACAAGGAUGUGCAUAAAUAUCUUCUCUAUAUUGGAAAUGGGGCAAAGGAAUAAAAAAGACAAGGUAUAAUAGUAUACAAUAACAAAAUGUAGCCACAACAAUUGAAUAUCGCAUUGCAGAAUUGAACCAAGCAGUUAACUAAACACCAUAACAAAUGAACCAACCGUUAACUGAGCACCACAUUGCACAAAUAUAGCAUACUCCUAAUAGAAGAUCGGGCAGUUAACCAAACAAAGCACGCUUAACAACUUGGAAAUAUAACAGUUGUAUUUGUUUCUCAUGUAUUUAGUACAGCCAAAUUCGAUUUAUUUCUCACGUGGUAUACAAUAACAGAAUGCAGCCACAACAAUUGAACAUCGCGUUGCAGAAUUGAACCAAGCAGUUAACUAAACACCACAACAAAUGAAACAACCGUUAACUGAGCACCACAUUGCACAAAUAUAACAUACUCCUAUUAGAAGAUCGGACAGUUAACCAAACCAAGCAUGCUUAACAACUUGGAAAUAUAGCAAUCGUAUUUGUUUCUCAUGUAUUUAGUACAGCCAAAUUCGAUUUAUUUCUCACAUGGUAUACAAUAACAGAAUGCACACACAACAAAUGAACAUCGCAUUGCAGAAUUGAACCAAACAGUUAACUAAACACCACAACAAAUGAACCAAAUGUUAACUGAGCACCACAUUGCACAAUAUAACAUAUUCCUAAUAGAAGAUCAGACAGUUAACCAAACCAAGCAUGCUUGACAACUUGGAAAAUUGCACCCUAAAGAAUUAAACAUCACAUUUGCAGAAUUGAACCAAACAGUUAACUGAACACCACAUUGCACGACAUAUAGAACAUAUACACUAGAGCAGAAGAUUGCAUGGUAAAAGUAGAUAGCACAAUUCACUAAAAUUUGUUAAGGAAAGGCAGUAGGUAGCAAACUGAACAUGGGUCCUUAUAGUGAGCUAAUAAGACAAGCUACUCAUUGUCGGAGAUAUCGAUGAUGAUUGGCUCCUUGGACAUGGAAGAGGGCGAGGCCUCCGUAUCAUGGGUGCCCUCGUCGUAGUGGUGAGUUGCCUGAGCCGCUCCGGGCACCAACCUUCUGGCUCUCAAGAUGAGGUAAGCACGUGCACGCUAAGAAAACACCUCGUAGUCUUCAUCGAAGGCACCGACGGUGGCCUCGAGAAAACGCCACGAACUGUCGUUUAAAGCAGCCAACCGCGCCGUGGCAUCGAUGCACGAGGCGUCGAUGGUGGCCUCGACGUCUAGGUGCUCCUCCAAGAUCUGGGGGUCGACACGAAUGGUAGCCAUCGCGACCUCAUCCGCGCGUGCGACCGCGAUUUGCUUCUCCGCUGCCAAAUGCUCCUUGAGAUCCUGGCUAUACUGCGUGCACCAUGGCUUAGGAUGAUGCUUAUUUGGUGGUGGGGUUGGUGAUUUGGGUGGAAGGUGUCGCGCUCACGCUGGCGGUCGGGGCAUGUGGGAUGUGGAAGGAGGAGGAGGACGGGGUUCGGGUGUGGAUUACUUGCCUGGAUAGGCGAGGCCGAGCAGCGUGAAGGAGGGUCGCCGAUGAGGAGACGGCGUUGCAAGCAAGGAGUGAAGGUUUCAACUUGGAAAGGAAGGCGGAAACAGGGGAAAUGUGGCUUUUGGUAAGGGGGGGUAGAUAUUUCCCCGGAAGCCGAAAAUUUGGAAUCGCUUCAGCGAAAAAGCUGGCGCGCAAAGUGUCAUCAGACACGGUCCCUUAUUCAGAGCGGGUUGUGAAGUGUAGCCGACGAACCUUCUCGAGUAAGCCAUAGGCAUACUAUACAUCGACGAUGCUCCAGGAUAUUUUGUACUGCAUCUCACACGGUUGGUGAUAAUAAACUGUGUGGGGUCUACUUGAUCUUUCAUCUUGAUUUGAAUUACAUAAUGGGGUCACAGCUACAAAGGAUGGUAUUUGAAUUGCUAGAACUUCUAUCUGUAGUGAAAAUGCAACUAUAGGUGUGUCGUCAAAAAUUUUGGAAUUAUUCAGGGUUCGUUUGGACAUUUUUAUACGGUAACUUGGUUUUCUAGGAAUUUCAGGUGCAGAAUUCAAAAUUAAACCACAUGCACAUGCUCCGGUGCACCAAAAUGGGUUGUAAAAUGAUAUAUGUGUCCAUGGAUUGAUGCUUACGUCUCAUUCAAGAAAUGGGGAUGAAUUUCAAACACCACGGCACCGUGGCUCUCCCGCAAAUGUUGAGGUGCUUGCUUUUGUAAUUCUAGUAAAUACAAAACUCGUCUGUUCAUGAACCUUGGCAUGCUAUCAUGGAACGGCAUCAAGAUGCUGGGGUAAAAAAAUAUUGUCCCAUUUGGGCCAGGUUAUGGUAUAAGCUUCUUGCAAACCAAAGCUUCUCUCACAACAAGCAUGAUGGUUUCGGUAGGGAACGUUUCAUCUUUCUGGACGAAACGAUAUCCGUUGCAUCUUCUCGAUUUUAAAUUUUUUUCCUAGUGUCAACAUAGAACAACAGGGGUGUUGUGUCAAUUUUUGGGAUUUUUUGGGGUUCGCUUGGACAUUUUUAUACAUUAACUGAGUUUUCUAUGCAUUCAUGUGCAUAAUUCAAAUUUGAACUAUAUGCACAUGCUCUAAUGCAUAUAGAUUAGUUCAAAAUUCAAAUCUGUGUCCUUGGUUGCAUACUUAAUUAGGUCUCAUGCAAGAUGAGAAUGAAUAUCAAACACCCUGCCACCGUCACUCGGCCGCAAAACAUUGAGAUAUAUGUCUGGUUUUUAAAUUCUAGUAAAUCCAAAGCUCGUCUAAAAUUCAUGAAACUUGGCAUGCUGUCAUGGAGCGGCAUCACAUGCCGUGGUAAAUUUUUUGUCUCAUUUGGGGCAAUUUUGGGGAUAUGCUUCUCACAAACCAGAGCUUCUCAUAACAAGCCCGAUGAUUUCGAUAGGGAACGUCUCACCUUUGGACGAAACGAUAUGCAUUGCCUCUUCUCGAUUUUAAUUUUUUUCCUAGUGUCAACAUAGAUCAAUAGGGGUGUUGUGUCAAUUUUUGGGAUUUUGGGGGGUUAGCUUGGACAUUAUUAUACAUUAACUGAGUUUUCUAUGCAUUCAUGUGCAUAAUUCAAAUUUGAACUAUAUGCACACAUAUGCUCUAAUGCAUAUAAAUUGGUUGAAAAUUCAAAUAUGUGUCCUUGGUUGCAUGCUUAAUUAGGUCCCAUGAAAGAAAUGAGAAUGAAUGUCAAACACCUUGCCACCAUCACUCGGCUGCAAACAUUGAGAUAUAUACCUGAUUUUUAAAUUCUAGUAAAUCCAAAGCCCCGUCUGAAAUUCAUGAAACUUGUCAUGCUGUCAUGGAGCGGCAUCAACAUGUCGUGGUAAAUUCUAGUCUAGCAAAACGCCAGUUGCUGUGUAGACUUGGUGAAGCCCGGGCGGUUUUGACUUCUGAUUAAUUCUGCUCCUGAAGCAUAUUACUUGAUUUGGUAUUUGUGGCAGCUUUCAGUUUGAACUUGCAUUCAGUGGUAGUUUGGAGUUAGUAGUGUGCACAUCUGGUUCUUCCAACCGUCCUGAAGCAUCUUAUUACUUGGUUUCUGUUGCGCCAUCCUACUGAUUAGGACAUCUGCUUCAGCUUGCAUGUGGUUUGGACAGAAUAUGAUCUCAGCUUUUGCUCUGAAUCAACAAAAUGCUAGAAGUAAGGAUGUCCUAACCGGAAGUUCCUUUAGUCUCAAACACGGAUUCAACAUGGAAAUAUCAGUUCAUAAUAAGUUUGUAUAGCAGAUUAUCAAAUUUUGAUUUGGCUAUAGAUUACUACUUGGUUGACAUACUGUUUCCGGAAGUUGGGUUUUAAUAUUAGGCUGAUUGUAUCUAUAAUUUUAUCUUUAGCAGUAAUAUCUUUAGCUUCCAAAUUUAUCACCAUGUACAUGAGCUCUGAAUGCGGUAAAAGAUUUGCCAGUCUACUAUUCUACAUUUUCUUAUCCACACUUGGUUUCUUUAUUUAACUAUUUUCCUGGUGAGUUCUUUAGGAUCAUCUUAUGACACACAAUCAAUUUUUGAUGUGCACAGAUUUUUAACUUCAGUGAUAAAGAAAGAUCCCAUCUAGUUGUUUGCUGGCUCUCUCACUUGACUUGUAGUUGGGUAAUGUUGAUGUCUUGAUAUGCAGAAAGAGGCUAAGGAAUUAUUGCCAUAUACUAAAACAAUGGAGAGUUGAAGCUUCUGAACUGGAAGCUUGAACAAAUAGUUUGCCCUGAACACUCUACUCUUGAUGUCUUAGAUUACUGUCAUCUCCACUAAUUAUGAUUCCAGUUUGGUGGUAUGGAAUUGAUUUUCAGAAAAUGAUGUUCUUAUCAUUGGUGCUUCGCUGGUGGGAUCUGGAUUACAUAUCUUCAAUUCAAUGCAUCUUCCUGCUGAUUGUGUACUUUUAACUCAAGUAGCUCAUAUUUGACAACUAGCAAAACAGUCUGGCUAAUUUGAUGAUUCCUGCUGAUUGUGUACUUUUAACUCAAGUAGCUCAUAUUCCUGGAUUUAUAAGACAAAAAGCGUUCACAGAUCUUAACGUCUUCUAAUGGCUAAUUUGAUCUGGUCUAUGGUCGGUGUUUUUCUUACGAUCCCAAUUCUCACCGGAAAGUGAGUGUACAGAUCUGCAUGACGGGCCUCGUGUACAACAAUUAUCCAGAAAGAUGUAGUUCAGUUGUUCUGGGUAACCCUAGAGAAUGCUAUGGUAACCUGCAGUGUAGCAGAUGCAAGCAAAUGGGGAUGGUUCAUGAGUUCGCUGGUAAUUUCAGUUGUACUCCCUCCGUUCCUAAAUAUUUGUCUUUCUAGACAUUUCAAAUGACUACUAUAUACGGAUGUAUGUAGACAUAUUUUAGAGUGUAGAUUCACUCAUUUUGCUCCGUAUGUAGUCACUUGUUGAAAUGCCUAGAAAGACAAGUAUUUAGGAACGGAGGGAGUAGUAAACUACUAGGGAGACAUGACUAGGUGUUUAAGUUCAUGUUGGAUCAUUAAAGUAGCGAGCUAAAUGCUCUUAUAUUUUUGGGCUCCUGCACAAGCAUGCUACUACUCAAUCCUCAGAACAAGCUAUCAUUAUUUUCAACCUAAAAGCAACUACACCUAGAAAAUUGUUUCCACAGAAACAGCAAGAAAUUGCUACACCUAAUUAUUUUAUACAUCUGCUAGUAGCAACACGAUCAGGUUUUAAGCGGGGAGAAAACACAACCUGCAAGUGGCACAUUAUCACACAACAAAAUCAACAAUGAUAAAGCAGUGUCUCUUGAACGUCUAUGCGGUAGACUAAAAAUGUUGCAAAGAAAUUCAUAACAAGCCGUGCAAGGAAGAAACUGUGGGUAUGCCAACCACAAAACUUCACAAUGCCAAAAAUUAUUUCGCAUUCAUAACAAAGUAUAUAUGAAAAACACGACUCAAAAUCUGAACUAAGAACUCGACGACGAUAAAGCAUGCCAUAUAACAUGUCUCCCAAAAUGCGUCCAUAGAUAAAACACUCGAGAUAAACAGCUGCCAAAACAGCAUAAGAUGUCUCAGACUCCGGAUAAACGAUAACAUGACACAAGAUCAUACUUUAGGGUCUCUUAAGGUAGGACGAUAGACUGCUACUACUUCAACUAGACGAUCACUGGCUGACGCCGAGCCACUUGGAGAAGACGUCGAACUCAGUGUAGUCGCUGUCAGAGAUCAUGGUCUGGUACCAGGCCUUCCCUGCAGCCUUGAUCUUAGAUGCCUCCUCCUACAACAACAAGUGUUCCUUCGUCAGUAUGAGAAUAACAUAUAAUAGAUGCAGGAUGUGGAAUUUAAACAUCAGAUAUCAGACAACUUUUGAAAGGGCAACAGAAAAACGACAGCAUCCCAAGCACCCAAACAUGAAAAGAAAUGCUAUUAAUUAACCAGCAAUAACAUUGAUCACAUACAAUUUCCUACUCUUGGAGUUUCAAAUGCAGUCAUGAUUAAUGUUAAACAAUUCUGCCUCAGAUUUUCAGUACAGCAAAACCAAGCAGUUCAUGUCCUUCAGGAAGAUUCAGUGCUAAUGAAACAAGACAAGUAAAAAAGGCAAUCAAGCUUCAAGACAAACUGAGAUAAAUUAGCAUAAAACGAGCAAAAAACAAUGGCAUUGGAUACUUCAGAAUUCAGUAUGGCAUGCCAUCAAAGAAAUUGCACAUGGUUUUCCUUUAGAUAAAGAAUGUAUGCAUCUUAGAGCAUCACAAUCAUCCAUACUGAUGAAUCAGGCUAACAAAACAAAUAUACUCGAGAGAAACUAACAAAUCAAGACAGGCACCUUCAUUAUGGAUACAGAAGUUUAGACAUGCAACUACAAACUGAAGUACACAGAAACACACUACGAGUCUAUGUAAAGAAAACAAAAUUAGUGUGCUUGCUCCAUAUAGAACAGUACAAGCGUACAACCACAAGGCACUUUGAAUAGCAAGCAUCAUAAAGUUGAAUUAUCUAGAUAAUAUCAGGUUUUAGGCAUGCAAUUAGCAAAUGACAAUCAGCUUACAUAUAAUCAGAACCUACUGCUGAAUCAGGUAUUCCAGAAUAGUUAUCAUCAUAAACUGAUCAGAACCUAUUGAUGAAUCAGGCAUUCCAGAAUUGUUAUCAUCAUAAACUAACUAAUCAUAACCUAUCGAUGAAUCAGGCAUUCCAUACAACAGUUCAAACAUAUGGAAAUGUGCAGAAUUGUUAUCAUCAUAAACUGAAAUCACCAUGCACAAUACAGGCAUUCCAGAAUUCAAGUCAUGCUACAUACCACUAUACAUAAAGACUUACUAAAAGCUUAGUACGAACAUUCAACAAAUACUGAAGGAUUAUAAGCUAUCUGUCAUCAUGUGUAAGAAGAUAUGAAACAGAUGGCAAAGGGAAGGGGGGGUAGCAUACCGCGCUGAGCUUGGUCCUCUUGGAGUUGAUCUUUUCCUUCCUGGCCUUGACACGGGCUGCCUCAGCAAGAACCGCCAUCCUGCGGGCAGUUCCAAAGUAGGGGUUGAGCUUGAGCACGGCAGCAGCAUUCUUCAGAGGGUUCUUCCUGGCCUCCCUGCGCUUGACCUCCUUGUUGAUGGGCUUCACCACAGACUGGACCUCAUCAGAGUUGAUGAGGCGGCCAAGGUCAGCAUUGGUCAUCUUGGGCCUGGGGAGAACGAAGCCCUUCUUCUUUGAGGAAGACGCCUCAAAGGAGCCGUACACCUCGUCCAGCUUCUUGAAGGCAGACUCGGUCCAGAUCACAAACCGGCCGAGGUGGCCACCAGGGGCAAGGUCGAGCAGGUUGAGGCGCUCGACGUUGGCAACAUCCACACCGGGGAGGUUGCGGAAGGCCUUGACGAUCUUGGAGCCCUCGGUGCCGUAGACGAUGAGGGGCCCCUUGCGGUUGAUGUACCUGCGGUUGCGCAUCUUACCCUUGCCGGGGCGGAUGCCGACGGACUCCUUGGCCUUCUCGGCGUCGGCGUAGGCGCCCAGCUGCUUGAGGACCUUGAUGGCCUGGGCGGUCUUCUCGAUGCCCUCGGCCGAGUCGGAGACGACGAGCGGGAACUCGGGGACGGACUCGAUGCGGUGGCCGCGGGCGGUGACGAUGGCGGGGACGGCGGUGGCGGCGAGGGCGGAGGCGACGGCGACGCGGCGGAGGCGGACGUUGACGCGGCGGUGCCACUUGCGCCAGAUCCGGGUGGGCGCGAACAUGCGCCCGCCACGGCACAUGUUGCCGAAGGCUCCCUGGCCGGCGCGGUGGGUGCCGCCGCCGCCGACACGCGGGAUACGCGAGACGGCUCGGCCCGUGCCCCAGGACUCGGCCGAGGUCUGGUGACCGGCCUUCCGGGAGACGGCGUAGGGCUGGCGGCUGUUGCAGGAGAGGAGCCUGUGGACGAAGGUGAUGACGUCGGGGCGGAUCGGCGCCUUCAUGACGUGCGGCAUCGGGACGCCGGCCGCGUCGGUGGCCAUGUCCCCGUCCAGGGCCUUGACGGAGACGAGCGGGCGCGCGGUGGUAGCCAUGGCGACGGCGGCGGCGGCGGCGGCGGGGAGGGGGAGAGGCUGGAGAGGGCGAGGGGAGGUGGGAGUUUAUAUGUGACGCGUUCUGCUUCGAGUUGCUGGGGUUUCGCAUACAGACCCUAGUUCGUGGGCUUAGUGGGCCGCGCUCGUGGGCUUAGUGGUGCACGUGUUUGAACGAAUUGAUUCGUUUUGGCUAUGCGUGCACGUUAACUUGAGCGAGAUAAUCUAAAGGAGAUUGUUUCUACUGUUUGCACUGUUUCGUCAGGUUGGGUGUAAAACUGUUUCUUUCACGAAUAACACAAAAUUGGACAGUCUUCAAAACUUAGACUAGACUGUUUUGAGAAAUGUGCAGUGCAAAAGAAACCUUCUCUUUCAGAAAGACCAAAUUCUUUGCGACUGAAAAAGGAGCGCGCGGGUAAACGGGAUUCGAACAAGUGACCUCGAAGCGGGUUGCGCACCGAGCUAGCCACUGCGACAUGCAGAGUUCUAGUCUCCGAUUGGCAGCACGACGCUUAAAAGAAGUAAACGAUCGAGGCAAAACUUAAACACCCGGGAGCGCAAAUUCGAGGCCCUCUUACUAGCGAACAUCGUCGCUAGCCACCAUCUUUACUGCGACCAGGUGCCUAAAAUGGCAGCCCAACGUGUAUCAACAAUAAGCCGCAAACAGACUAAAAUUAUUUUGAAAUUUUAAAUGUGAUAUUGUUUUUGAAAAAAGUAAAUACUUUAUGAAACACGAAUAUUUUCUAAUUUCCGUACAAAUUUAUAAAAAACUAGAAUUUUUUGUGAAACCCAAUUAUUAUUUUUAAAGGAACAAAUUUCAAAGUGAGAACAUUUUUUAGAAUUAUGAACAAUUUUUUGAACCUGCAAAAAGUUUUUGAAAAAACAAGAAAAAGUAAUAAUGCAACAUUUUUUAGAAAUUCCCUGAACAAUAUUUGGCAUCAUGAACACAUUUCUAAAACAUGCUUUUUUUUAUUGAUGAACAUAUUUGCAAUGUGAAAUUCCAGAAACAUUCUCUAAAUUUGUGCACACAAAUUCAAUGGUGCACGUUUUUUAGAUCCCCGGAACAUUUAUUGAUUCUGUGAACAAUUUUUGAAAACAUUAACAUUUUUUGAAUUUGCGAACAAAUUUCGAAAGUAGGAACAUCUUUUGAAAGUCCAACACAUUUUCUGAAUGUGUGAACCAAAAUUAAAAUAUAAACUUGUGAACUUUUUAUGAAAAAUCACGAACAUAUUUGAAUUUGUGAACAAAAGUUGAAAAAAGGGGAAUUUUUUUGAACUUCUCAACAGUUCUUCAAACCUUAACAAAUUUGCAACAAGCGAACACUUUUUCAAACUUGCAGACUAUUUAUGAAAAUCAUGGACAUUUUACGAAAGUCAUGAACAAAAUUUAAAAAACACGAACAUUUCUUCAAUAAGAAUUUCUGAAAUACUAAACAAAAGUUGGAAAAGACGAACAUUUUUUCAUAUAUGCGAACAAUUUUUGAACUUCACGAACAUUUUUGGAAAUUUUUAGCAAGAACUUUAAAUAGGAACAUAUAUCGAAGUUCUGGACAAUUUUUAAAAUUUGUGAACAUUAUUUUAAUUCGGAAACAUAAUUUGAAGACAAGAACAUUUGUGUAAAGUUUUGAAAAAAUUAUGAGAACAAACAUUUUUUAAAAUUUAUGAACAUUUUGAAAAAACACAAACAUCUUCAAAUAAAGAAAAUAAACUUGAAAAAAAGGAAAAGAAAUUAGAUGGAAAGGAAAAGAAACAGGAAAUAGAAAAUUAAAAAGGAGAAAAAUAAAAAAAGGAAAAUAGAAAUAGAAGAAGAAAAAUAAAAGGAAGAAAAAGGAAAACAAAAAAUUAAGAAAAGAAGAAGAAAAAACAGAAAAAAAAAA